rnacentral:lncRNA from 1 species
CUAUUUUUCUUCCAAGCAAGCAUUAAUUUUCAUUCUUUCUAUUUUUGUUCUUUUCUUUCACAUCAUAUUUACAAAACAGAUGUUUCUUUUCUAUAUUUUCUAUAUAUAUAUAUAUUUUUUUUUUUAUGCUUGCUCGGUUUUUCAAGAGUUGUGGUACUUACCAAUUCUCAUUUUCGUUCUCCCCAACUGAUUUCUUACUCACCCUAAGUGAAUGCUCUUAACUUUUUUACGGCAAAAGAACAAUAAUCAAGAUUUUCCGGGUUGUAAAAAAAAGAUUUUUGAAAUCUCACUUUAUUUCAAGCUGAGAUUCAACUGUUUAAGCUCAAAGGGGUUAACGAAUACUCU